GGAAGAAGGCCUUCGGGUUGUAAACUGCUUUUGCGUGGGAAGAAUUUUGACGGUACCACGAGAAUAAGGGGUUGCUAACUCUGUGCCAGCAGCAGCGGUAAUACAGAGACCCCGAGCAUUAUCCGGAAUUACUGGGCGUAAAGCGCGAGCAGCCGGUCGUGUUAGUCUGAUGUAAAACCGUGGGGCCCAACUCCACGUCUGCAUUGGAAACGGCACGACUCGAGUAGAUGAGAGGAAGGCAGAACGUAUGGUGUAGGGGUGAAAUCCACUGAUAUCAUACGGAAUACCAAAAGCGAAGGCAGCCUUCUAGCGUCUCACUGACGGUCAAUCGCGAAAGCGUGGGGAUCAAAAAGGAUUAGAUACCCCUGUAGUCC
rnacentral:rRNA from 1 species